CUGACCAAGUUUAUAAAUGGCAAUUAAAUCGGUGCCUAGUGUUUGAGAAGGAAAAGGAAUCAUCUUAGUAGUCCACUUUCCCAAAACUAGGCACCGAUUUCGCUGUCACCACCUCCACCACUACCAC
rnacentral:precursor_RNA from 12 species